UUGACCUCAGAUCAGGCAAGAUUACCCGCUGAGUUUAAGCAUAUCACUAAGCGGAGGAAAAGAAACUAACU
rnacentral:rRNA from 2 species